rnacentral:rRNA from 1 species
CAUAGCGACUAUCGUGGCAUAUCAAUAAGCGGAGGAAAAGAAACUAACAAGGAUUCCCUUAGUAACGGCGAGUGAAGCGGGAAGAGCUCAAAUUUGAAAUCUUCAAGGUUUUACCUUGACGAAUUGUAGUUUAAAGAAGUGUUUUCUGUUGGAGUUUUGGUAAAAGUUCUUUGGAAUAGGACAUCAUAGAGGGUGAGAAUCCCGUAUUUGACCAGUUACUUUCCAGCUGUGUGAUACACUUUCAAAGAGUCGGAUUGUUUGGGAAUGCAGUCCAAGAUGGGUGGUAAAUUUCAUCUAAAGCUAAAUAUUGGCGAGAGACCGAUAGCGAACAAGUACCGUGAGGGAAAGAUGAAAAGAACUUUGAAAAGAGAGUUAAACAGUACGUGAAAUUGUCAAAAGGGAAGCGUUUGACACCAGUGUUGUUUUUCCGAAAAUCAAUUACGAAUGUUUUGUUUUUGAGAGAGUUAUGACUUCAUCGGCUUGCUUCCUUUCUUUACUGUAACUUUCUUAAUGCACUUUUCGGUUAACAAGUCAACAUCAAUUUCUUUUGUUGUAAAAGAGGUCAUUGAGGAAGGUGGCUUUCUUUUCGGAGAAAGUGUUUAUAGCCUUGUGCUUCUGCAAUCGGAGAGAUUGAGGUCUGCAGCGUAGAUCCUUCGGGGUUAGAUACAUUUGUGCUAAGUUAUAGCCUUUCAUAGACAACUUGUUGACUAUGAUCAGUCAUGUAGCUUACUCGCUUAUGCUAUUUUACCUACGCUUAGGAUGUUGAAGAUAUGCGCGACACG